CCUGCGGAGGGAUCAUUGCUGGAACGCGCCCCAGGCGCACCCAGAAACCCUUUGUGAACUUAUACCUUACUGUUGCCUCGGCGCUAGCUGGUCCUCCGGGGCCCCUCACCCCCGGGUGUUGAGACGGCACGCCGGCGGCCAACCUAACUCUUGUUUUUACACUGAAACUCUGAGCACAAAACAUAAAUGAAUCAAAACUUUCAACAACGGAUCUCUUGGUUCUGGCAUCGAUGAAGAACGCAGCGAAAUGCGAUAAGUAAUGUGAAUUGCAGAAUUCAGUGAAUCAUCGAAUCUUUGAACGCACAUUGCGCCCUCUGGUAUUCCGGAGGGCAUGCCUGUUCGAGCGUCAUUUCAACCCUCAAGCCUGGCUUGGUGAUGGGGCACUGCUUUUACCCAAAAGCAGGCCCUGAAAUUCAGUGGCGAGCUCGCCAGGACCCCGAGCGCAGUAGUUAAACCCUCGCUCUGGAAGGCCCUGGCGGUGCCCUGCCGUUAAACCCCCAACUUCUGAAAAUUUGACCUCGGAUCAGGUAGGAAUACCCGCUGAACUUAAGCAUAUCAAUAGCCGGAGGAA
rnacentral:rRNA from 1 species